rnacentral:lncRNA from 1 species
AUUCGUGCUAACUUCUCAACAGACAUGUUAUUUUUUCCACUUAUUUAUAGGAGGCAUAUUCUGGAUACCAGACCUUUCUAGGUAAGAUGUGUUGCAAAUAGCUCUGCCAAGUUUUGGGUAUUUUUUUUCACGUUGCAGUAUCCUUUAAUAAACAGAAGUAUUAAAUUUUUGUGUUAUCAAAUCAAAUUUUCCUCUUUCAGUUUGUUCUUCUUCCCCAUGUAAAGAUAAAAGAUAUGCUUCCCAGGUUUUUUCUAAAAAUGUGAGAAGCUAUCUUUAUCCGUAAAAUAUAUUUAUGUUUGUUCUCCCGGGAUUAAGUUUCAAUUUCAUUUUUUCCCUAUGGAGAUCAGUGGUACCCAGUGUUGCUUAUUGUAAAUAUACUAUCUUCACUUAACAACAAUGAAAGCUGUGUUACAAAAAUCUGUUUCCCAGUAUUAGUGCAAAAUAUAUUUCUCUUUAUGAUUGUACUCAGAUUAACUAGUUUGCAGGACUGUGUCCAGAGUUGGUUCCUUCUGGUGGGUCGUGGUCUCCCUGACUUCAGGAAUGCAGCUGUGGACCUUCCUGAUUGGUGUGUUUUACAGAGGUCGCAGGUGGCGUGAUUUGAUUUGUGUGAAGGCAAUGAAAUGAUACACAGAUACACCGAAGCCUCCCAAAGAAUCCUGGUUCCAAGACUCAAGAAGAUGGAUUAAUGUUUUUCCAUUAAUUGUUGGAAUUUGUGCCAUUUUUUACUAUGUGCCAUCAAUUUUAAAGCACUUCUGAAAAGACAUAACAAUCUAAAUGAGAUGGCAUUUUAAAUUCAUAAAAUAUAGUAUUUUCCUCAACUUUUAUGCAUUUAUGAUGCAUUAUAUUCUUAUUUCCCGGGAAUUUUACUACCUUUGCUUUGAAUGAUUAAAAAGGAAACACAGCACUUUUUUCAGCACA